UGCCAGAAGACUUUGAUGUGUUAUUUGCAAACACAUAUCUGACUACUUUUUGUGGAAACCUGAUUGUUUCUGAGUUAAUUGUGA